rnacentral:rRNA from 1 species
GACGAACGCUGGCGGCGUGCUUAACACAUGCAAGUCGAACGGAAAGGCCCUGCUCUUGUGGGGUGCUCGAGUGGCGAGCGGGUGUGUAACACGUGAGUAACAUGCCCUUGUCUUUGGGAUAACUCCUGGAGACUGGGGCUAAUACCGGAUAGGAUCUCCUGCUGCGUGUUGGGGGUUGGAAAGUUUCGGUGGUUGGGGAUGGACUAGCGGGUUACCAGCUUGAUGGUGGGGUAGUGGAUUUCCAAGGCUUUGACGGGAAGCCGGCCUGAGGGGGUGAGGGGCGACAUUGGGACUGAGGUACGGCCGAGGCUGCUACUGGAGGGAAAAGGGGGGAAGAUUGACCAAGGGGCGGAAGGCUGAUGCAGCAACGCCGCGUGCGGGAAGACUCUCUUCGGGGUGUAAACCGCAUUCGUCUGUGACGAAGCGUGUGUGGCGGUAAUGGGUAAAGAAGGACCGGCUAACUAAGGG